UGGGGAAUUUUGGACAAUGGGGGCAACCCUGAUCCAGCCAUUCCGCGUGAGUGAAGAAGGCCUUCGGGUUGUAAAGCUCUUUCGGCAGGAACGAAACGGUGGAGGCUAAUACCUUUCAUCAAUGACGGUACCUGAAGAAGAAGCACCGGCUAACUACGUGCCAGCAGCCGCGGUAAUACGUAGGGUGCGAGCGUUAAUCGGAAUUACUGGGCGUAAAGCGUGCGCAGGCGGUUUCGUAAGACAGAUGUGAAAUCCCCGGGCUUAACCUGGGAACUGCGUUUGUGACUGCGAGACUCGAGUGUGGCAGAGGGGGGUGGAAUUCCACGUGUAGCAGUGAAAUGCGUAGAGAUGUGGAGGAACACCGAUGGCGAAGGCAGCCCCCUGGGUCAACACUGACGCUCAUGCACGAAAGCGUGGGGAGCAAACAGG
rnacentral:rRNA from 1 species